AGAUGACAACAGGCGUCGUAACUAAAACAUUUGUGUAAACAAAAUCCAGUGAAUUAUAUAUACCUACAUUGUUUGUAAGUGCAUGUAAAUUAGAAGGUGGAUAAUAUGUCUUUUAAAUUCAGAUUUAAGUAACUGUGAACUCGCUGAUGUCUCGAAUGAUUUAAGGCGUGACGUAGCCAAGGGAAAUAUGAGGUCGUGGUCGUUUAAAAAGCAAAAAAAUCGCUAAAUACAAAAAGUAAAUAAUAAUAUACGACCCAGAAAUAGUAAUUACCUACGUUUUAAGGCUCAAUCUUUUCGUGAAUUGAAUUAAUUUUCAAUGCGCUAAUGCAAAGUUCAAAUUAUGCUGCAAGAUUAUUAUUUUUUUAGUUUAUGGCCUGGUAUCUAGACCUUUAGGCCAAAAAGAGUUGUUUAUGCUGCAUGAGUGCUGUGGUUAGGCGUGAGUGAGACACUUUUCUUUCUGUAUCAACCAAUCGCACUCGCCGAUAUCCUGGCCUAAGAUUCCUUCUGUAUGUCGGUUUGGAGACAGACGAGAGAGACCGAGUUGUCUAGGCAGGCUUUAGCUGGCGCUGACGACCGCCGGUUAAGUCUCCAAUCGGGCACGGUCACGUUUUAGCCGGAUCAGUUCCGUCGUGUAAUUGGAAAUACGGCAAUUUCCUCCGUACCCAAUAAAAAUUUCCACCACCGAGACAACUCCCAACAAAUCAAUAAAUCACAUUGUGGACAAUUUCAAGACAGUCUUUCAUUUUUACAUUGUUAAAAUAAUUUACGUGAACAAAUAAGCAAUAAAGAAAAAUAGUUUUAAAA